UGGGGAAUAUUGCACAAUGGGCGAAAGCCUGAUGCAGCAACGCCGCGUGAGUGAUGAAGGCCUUCGGGUUGUAAAGCUCUGUCUUUUGGGACGAUAAUGACGGUACCAAAGGAGGAAGCCACGGCUAACUACGUGCCAGCAGCCGCGGUAAUACGUAGGUGGCAAGCGUUGUCCGGAUUUACUGGGCGUAAAGGAUGCGUAGGCGGAUUUUUAAGUGAGAUGUGAAAACCCUAAGCUUAACUUGGGGACUGCAUUUCAUACUGGAAAUCUAGAGUGCGGGAGAGGAGAAUGGAAUUCCUAGUGUAGCGGUGAAAUGCGUAGAGAUUAGGAAGAACACCAGUGGCGAAGGCGAUUCUCUGGACCGUAACUGACGCUGAGGCAUGAAAGCGUGGGUAGCAAACAGGGUUAGAUACCCUGGUAGUCCACGCCGUAAACGAUGAGUACUAGGUGUAGGAGGUAUCGACCCCUUCUGUGCCGCAGUUAACACAAUAAGUACUCCGCCUGGGAAGUACGAUCGCAAGAUUAAAACUCAAAGGAAUUGACGGGGUC
rnacentral:rRNA from 1 species